rnacentral:rRNA from 1 species
CCCUUAGACGUUCUGGGCCGCACGCGCGCUACACUGACGAAGGCAACGAGCUUUCCUUUACCGAAAGGUACGGGUAAUCUUUUGAAACUUCGUCGUGCUGGGGAUAGAUCCUUGCAAUUUUUGAUCUUAAACGAGGAGUGCCUAGUAAGCGCAAGUCAUCAACUUGCGUUGAUUACGUCCCUGCCCUUUGUACACACCGCCCGUCGCUACUACCGAUUGAAUGGUUUAGUGAGGCCUUCGGAUCCGCGACUCGUUUUGUGGAGAAGUUGGACAAACUCAGUCAUUUAGAGGAAGUAAAAGUCGUAACA